AUCAGCCACACGGGCAUGAGACACGGGCCCGACUCCUACGGGAGGCAGCAGUAAGGAAUAUUGGACAAUGGGCGAAAGCCUGAUCCAGCCAUGCCGCGUGAAGGAUGAAGGUCCUCUGGAUUGUAAAUUCUUUUAUUUGGGACGAAAAAAGGGAAUUCUUUCCCACUUGACGGUACCAGAUGAAUAAGCACCGGCUAACUCCGUGCCAGCAGCCGCGGUAAUACGGAGGGUGCAAGCGUUAUCCGGAUUCACUGGGUUUAAAGGGUGCGUAGGCGGGUAGGUAAGUCAGUGGUGAAAUCCUGGAGCUUAACUCCAGAACUGCCAUUGAUACUAUCUAUCUUGAAUAUUGNGGAGGUAAGCGGAAUUNGNCAUGUAGCNGUGAAAUGCUUAGAUAUGACGUAGAACACCCCAUUGCGAAGGCAGCCUCCUA
rnacentral:rRNA from 1 species